GGGCCCGCACAAGCGGUGGAGCAUGUGGUUUAAUUCGAUGAUACGCGAGGAACCUUACCAGGGCUUAAAUGCAGAACGACAGAGGUGGAAACACCUCCUUCUUCGGACGGUCUGCAAGGUGCUGCAUGGUUGUCGUCAGCUCGUGCUGUGAAGUGUCGGGUUAAGUCCCAUAACGAGCGCAACCCCUAUUUCUAGUUGCCAGCGGUUCGGCCGGGGACUCUAGAGAAACUGCCAGCGUAAGCUGUGAGGAAGGUGGGGAUGACGUCAAAUCAUCAUGCCCCUUAUGUCUUGGGCUUCACGCAUGCUACAAUGGCCGGUACAGAGGGCUGCAAUACCGCAAGGUGGAGCGAAUCCCAAAAAGCCGGUCUCAGUUCGGAUUGAGGUCUGCAACUCGACCUCAUG
rnacentral:rRNA from 1 species